CAAUUUUGUUUUUCCUUUGAUGUGUCCCUCGUCGGACGGAUUCCUUUUGUUUGUUUUAAGUUUAUUUUAUACAAAAGUUUAGGUCUUUUAUUUAUCGAUUGAGGCACUACGAAGUCUGCCGGGUCAGCUAGUCGUCAAUAAAUUAAUGGCGUGCAAUAAUACUACUACGUAAUGAAAAAUGUCAGACUUCUCAGAAAUUCUCAGACAAUCGCAUAGAUCAUGGACCCAUAGACAUGCCGGGUCCGCUAAUAUCUAAUAUAAAUCAACAUUUGGUGAAUCAUAUAUCAGCGGUAGUGCGCGGCCGGACCGCAUCGACUCAUGGCCAUUAUCGCUUAGGACUCGAUCAUAAACAUUGAAAUUAUAUUUAGAGUAAUGUAACAUUAAAUUGUUUGUAGGCCAACGGAAACUUAUUAUUAGGUAAAACAAAAUAACGAAAUGAUUAAUGGAGUUUGGAAUUUUUUUCGUAACUCGACGAAUUGUUUCACUGAAAAAUAAUGACGGUAGCUUGUGUAGGCGCCGACGGGUGUCGCUGGAGGAUGCUAAUUUUUCACUCGAGACAGAAAUAAUUCGGAAACUUGUUCGGGUGAAUCAUUCCACGUAAAGUUUUCACGACGUCCGUGGAAGCUCUCCGUCGCUCUGGUCACACCGGCCUGUAACUGAAAGGCUGAAAGCUCGGUUCCGCAGUGACGGCCGAGCUUUCGCGCCGCGCUCACGUCCCGAAGCGACGCCGCGUCGGUUCCCGAAAACAAUUUACGAAAAGAAACGAAAUUUAAAAAAUAUAUUAUAAAAAUAAUAAUACGAUUUUUUUAUCUCUCGGUUAAAGUGUUCGAAUUUCGAAUUCUCGUCGCUGAUUGGUGUGUUCGAUAGUGAUGUGAUUUAUUUUUUGUCAAGUGCAACUUUUAUUGGAUGUUUUCGUAUCGAUUAUUUCCGAAGUGAAGCGAGGGCGGGUCGCUAGUAUUAGCUAGUAUUAGAUGAACCGUACACGUUUGGCCUUUAAUAAUGAAAGCUAACAUUCGGAAUAUUUCAAACAUUAACUUCAAUCAAUAUCGCGAAGAAACUUUCCCAGAAAUUAACACAGCACAAAAAAAAUAUGACCAAUA